rnacentral:rRNA from 1 species
AUUGAACGCUGGCGGAAUGCUUUACACAUGCAAGUCGAACGGCAGCACGGGGGCAGCCCUGGUGGCGAGUGGCGAACGGGUGAGUAAUACAUCGGAACGUGCCCGGUCGUGGGGGAUAACGUAGCGAAAGUUACGCCAAUACCGCAUACGAUCUGAGGAUGAAAGCGGGGGACCUUCGGGCCUCGCGCGAUCGGAGCGGCCGAUGUCAGAUUAGGUAGUUGGUGGGGUAAAGGCCUACCAAGCCGACGAUCUGUAGCUGGUCUGAGAGGACGACCAGCCACACUGGGACUGAGACACGGCCCAGACUCCUACGGGAGGCAGCAGUGGGGAAUUUUGGACAAUGGGCGCAAGCCUGAUCCAGCCAUUCCGCGUGCAGGACGAAGGCCUUCGGGUUGUAAACUGCUUUUGUACGGAACGAAAAGGCUCUGGCUAAUACCUGGGGCUCAUGACGGUACCGUAAGAAUAAGCACCGGCUAACUACGU